CAGCAGCAGCAGCAAUGAGGACCCUAUGAAGUACACGCUGAAGCAUUUUUGUUUAAGCGUCAUCUUCAUCUCCUUGUAUUAUGGAUUUACCUGCCUGAUUCCUGAUUACCCUAGACCUUCAGUUUCUUCACCAGCUACCAUAAACACGGUCUCAGUCCCUGCAUGGGCCGAUAA